rnacentral:lncRNA from 1 species
UAGAUGUAGUCAAAGCACCCAAGGUAGGUUGACCAAGUCCAGUAUGGAUCACCACACCAUACCCAUGUUGUGUCGACAUUGGUAUGGCAAAGAUUUUGAAGGGUCCGAGCAACAUAGCAUGUAGGUAUAGAUUGGAUGUUAAAACUCUAAGUAUUAGGACAUAAUUUCAGUACUGAUUGCUAGUACAUUUUGAAACUUCCAAAAAUGCAUUGACCAGUAAAAUAAAACUCAGCACUAAGUGCUGAAAAGUAUAUGUUUUAUGGAACACCUCUAUAUUUCAAUGUAUCACUUAAUAGGAGGGGAAUCUUAGUAGUUGGCUACCCGAACUUUCACUUUGUUGGUGACGGUUCAAUUCCCCACCUUGUAAUCCCCUCCACAUUUUCCCCUUCCCCUACCCCCUAUGAAUUAAAAAAAUGUAACACUUAAUAGGAGAAAAGUCAGAUACUUCAGAAUUUAGCUAACGUUAAAGUUUGUAGGACAAAAGUUGGAGUUAUAUAGAGAUGGUAAAGACCUGUAGUUGGCCAGAAUUUGGCAUUCCUCAGCCAGGGAGCAGGGAAUGCAGCAUAUUCCCGAGAAUAUGGUUUUACCCAUGCAUCUGCCAUGAGCAUUGACGGUGGAUGAGGAGCCCCCUGCAACACAAAGUCCCGAUUAAUAUCUCCUGAUUCAUGCAACCGUACAAAAAACAAACAUUUUCGUUUUAAAACUAAUCUACCAAAAAAAAAGACCACAUAUUUACCUUAAGAACAUUGUUGUUAAUAUCAGCAUUCCCUUUCUCAAUCUGAGCGAUUUCUUCUCUGAUGGAGAUGAGUGCAUCACAAAACCUGUCUAGUUCCGCCUGCAUUAAUUUACAACUACUUCAGGACCACCAAAGAAAAACUAUACUGUGUAAUAGUGAUUUUUCUUUUCCCUGUAUCAUUGAAUAUGCAUCCUUAUAUUAUACCUUGCUUUCACUUUCGGUAGGUUCAAUCAUAAGUGUACCAGGAACUGGCCAAGACAUUGUAGGUCCAUGGAAUCCAUAGUCUAUAAGACGUUUAGCAACAUCUUCAGGUUCUAUUCCAGCAGUAUUCUGAACGGCCAAGACUCCAAUAGAUUUAGUACACUAAAACAAAAAGAAAAAAAAGGAGGUGUGAAUUGGAAAUGAUUCAAAAAAGUACCUUAAAGCCCCUCAGGUCAAUGAUAAACUCAUGGGCACAUGUUCCAUUGACACCUCGGAAUAGAACUGGGUAGUGCUUCUGUUGAUCAAAAGCAGAAAAUAUGAUCAGCAGAGUUAGAAUACUCAACUGAACACUUAUGAUGAACUACGGCAGGCAUAGCAAAGUCCGAGAAAACAGAAAGCAGAAAAUUCAACUCAAAUAGAAUAUGAGAAAUAAAAGAAGAAAGACCUCCAAACGCUUAGCCAUGUAGUUUGCAUUUAGGAUAGCUAUCUUUGAUGCAUCUGUAAGUCCCUUAGACCCCAUCAUGGCAAUGUAGGUAUAUGAAAUCGGCAAAAUAAGUGCUGAACCCCAGGGUGCAGCAGAAAUAGUACCAAGUGGCUGACUCUUGUCGGGGGAUGGGAUCCCUCCAGUAGGAACCU